GUCUUCUUGUUAUAUUUAGGAAGUCUGGCCUGCCCAGUGAAAAUAAUUUAACGGCCGCGGUAUACUGACCGUGCAAAGGUAGCAUAAUCAUUAGUCUUUUAAUAGAGGGCUGGUAUGAAGGGUUUAACGAGGUGUUGACUGUCUCAUUUAAUUUGAAUUUAGAAUUUAAUUUUUUAGUUAAAAAGCUAAAAUUUUAUUGGAAGACGAGAAGACCCUAUAGAGCUUUAUAUUUUUACUAUUAAUUUAUUAUAGAUUAUUAUUAUUUAUUAUUGGUAUAAAAUAUUUUGUUGGGGUGACAAAAAUAUAUAAAUAACUUUUUUAUUUCAUUUACAUUGCUAUAUGAAUAUUAGAUCCAAUCUUAUUGAUUGUUAGAUUAAGUUACCUUAGGGAUAACAGCGUAAUCCCUCUCCAGAGUUCAUAUUUACAGAGGGGCUUGCGACCUCGAUGUUGGAUUAAGAUAAUAAUUAGGUGUAGCCGCUUAAUUAAUAGGUCUGUUCGACCUUUAAAUUCUU
rnacentral:rRNA from 1 species